UAGAUUAGGCCAUUGCAUUGAAUUUAGCUUCUAAUUAGAAGCUUUGUGCUGUAGAAAAUGAAUUGGGUCGCAGAAGAUGCUGGAUUGGAAAAGAAAUUGGGUCUAUUGGUCUGCUGAUUGGAAGCAAAUUGGAACGCUGCUGCUCAUUUAAUUGGGAUGGUGUUGAAGAAGUUAAUUGGGCUGCCAAUGCUGAGAUGGGCUUAAGUGAAACGGUGAGUUUCACUGGAGGCAGCAGCUGAGGUCAUUGUAGAGCAGUUCCUUUGAGAAAAAAAGAACAUUCCCGUGAGCACUUUCAAUUUGGAGAAAGCUCCCUCGAGCUAGGGCUCCUGCGCGAGAGAAAGAGGCUCCCAUGCCCGAGAAAACGCGACCCUCAUCGGACCCUGAUCGGGACUGACCGGAGAUGAUGGAGGAGCUGAUUGGAGCUGCCACGUGGAUAGAAUCAAACGACUGGGAAGAAGAUGAAGGUUGGCCGUCCGAUUGGGAAACACAAAGCGUAGGGAGCAAGUUUCCUCUUUCC
rnacentral:lncRNA from 1 species